rnacentral:rRNA from 1 species
CAAGUCGAACGAAUCCCUGGGGGCUUGCUCCCAGGGGAAAGUGGCGAAAGGGGCAGUAAUGCGUGGGUAACCUACCCCGGGGACCGGGAUAGCCACCCUAACGGGUGGGUAAUACCGGGCGAUGUAGCGAGAUGGCAUCACCUUGCUACGAAAUGAAUUUCGCCUCGGGAGGGGCUCACGUGGUAUUAGCUUGUUGGUGGGGUAACGGCCCACCAAGGCCAAGAUGCCUAGCAGGUGUGAGAGCACGACCUGCGCCACUGGCACUGAGACACUGGCCAGACUCCUACGGGAGGCUGCAGUCGAGGAUCUUCGGCAAUGGGCGCAAGCCUGACCGAGCGACGCCGCGUGCGCGAUGAAGGCCUUCGGGUUGUAAAGCGCUGUCGAGGGGGAGGAAAGCCCGAAAGGGUCUGACCUAUCCCUGGAGGAAGCACGGGCUAAGUUUGUGCCAGCAGCCGCGGUAAGACAAACCGUGCAAACGUUGUUCGGAAUCACUGGGCUUAAAGGGCGCGUAGGCGGCCUACCAAGUCGGGGGUGAAAUCUUUCGGCUUAACCGGAAAAGUGCUUUCGAUACUGGUAGGCUCGAGUGAGGUAGGGGCAUGCGGAACUUCCGGUGGAGCGGUGAAAUGCGUUGAUAUCGGAAGGAACGCCGGUGGCGAAAGCGGCGUGCUGGACCUCUUCUGACGCUGAGGCGCGAAAGCUAGGGGAGCGAACGGGAUUAGAUACCCCGGUAGUCCUAGCCCUAAACGAUGGGUACUAGGUAGUGGGCUUGACAUGGGUUCACUGCCGAAGCAAAAGUGAUAAGUACCCCGCCUGGGGAGUAUGGUCGCAAGGCUGAAACUCAAAGGAAUUGACGGGGCUCA